CAUAAACAUAUUCCAAUUUUAUUUUUUAUUUUCCCUAACUAUUGUUACAUGUGACUCUUUCUCUCUCUCUCUCUCUCUCUCUCUCACACUAUAAAACCUACACACACAAUCACACACUACCCGUCCAGCCUCCAAGUCUAGACCCAAAUGGGCCCUACUCCGACGCCCCCCUCCGCCCCCCAGAUCCGGCGAACCACCAGCGCCGGCGGCGGCAGCGGCUCCAUCAUUCUCGACAAAUACCAGCUCGGCCGCCUCCUCGGCCGCGGCAGCUUCGCCAAGGUGUACCUCGCCCGCCUCCUCGACCACCCCGACGCCGCCGAGGUGGCCAUCAAGGUCAUCGACAAGGCCGCCACCGUGGACGCCGCCAUGGAGCCCCGCAUCGUCCGCGAGGUCUCCGCCAUGCGCCGCCUCCACCACCACCCCAACAUCCUCAACCUCCACGAGGUCAUGGCCACCAAAACCAAAAUCUACCUGGUCAUGGAGCUGGCCCCCGGCGGCGAGCUCUUCGCGAAGCUCAGCCGCUGCCGCCGCUUCUCCGAAUCGGCCGCCCGCAGGUACUUCCACCAGGUCAUCUCCGCGCUCCGAUUUUGCCACCAGAACGGCGUCUUCCACCGCGACAUCAAGCCGCAGAAUCUCCUCCUCGACCACAACGGCAUCCUCAAAAUCACCGACUUCGGCCUCUCCGCCCUCUCCGAGCACAAAAUCGACGGCCUCGUCCGCACCGCCUGCGGCACGCCGGCCUACACCGCGCCGGAGGUCGUCUCCCGCAAGGGCUACGACGGCGAGAAGGCCGACGCCUGGUCAUGCGGGGUUCUCCUCUACGUUUUCCUAGUCGGCAACCUCCCCUUCGACGACACCAAUUUAUCAAACAUGUACCGCGCAAUGCACCGCCGCGCCCUAGAAUUCCCCGAUUGGGUCUCGAAAUCGGCCAAAAUCGUGAUCUACAGAUUACUCGAUCCAAACCCUAGCACGAGGCUGAGCCUCGACGAAUUAAUCAAGCACUCCUGGUUUAAGAAGUCGUUCUCGGAGGAGAAUCUGAGAUCGCAAGGCGACGACAAGGCGGGAUCGGGAUCGGAGUUUCUCGAUUCCAAGGGGUUCAAAUUCAUGCCGAGAGUGAAUGCUUUCGACUUGAUCUCGAUGUCGUCGGGGCUGAAUUUAUCGGGGCUGUUCGAGGAGGAGACGAGUAGUAAGGAGAUGAGAUUUACCAGUGGGAUGGCGGUGGUGGAGAUUGAGGAGAAGGUGAGGAAGGCCGGGCUCGAAUUCGGGUACACAGUGGAGAGGGGGAAGGGCGGAGGUAUCAGGCUGGUGAAGGGGAGGGCGGUGGCGGUGGUGGUGGAGAUAUGGGAGGUCGCGGCGGAGCUGUGGUUGGUGGAGUUGAGAUUGAUCGACGGCGCGGCGGAGUUCGGCGAGUUGCAGUGGGGGGAGCUGCGAUCAAUCUUCACUAGGAACGACGUCGUUGCAUAGAAAUAGGAAAAUGACAGCAGGCAGCCCAGAAAAAACCCAAAAAAAGAAAAAGAAGAAGAAGAAGAAGGAUAGGAAGCCAUCUGUUGCUCGAACUGGGAAGUGAACGGGGAAAGAAGAAAGUAUAUCUUUUGUUGGUAUAACUAUGGUCGAGCCAUGGUGGACGCUGCUGGGGGCUGCUGUCGUCCCAGUUAUCAUUGCUGGUAAAGCUUUGAGAACGAGAGCAAGACAUGUUGAGGAGCAAAGAUUAAGAAGUGCAUGGAGCCGGGAGAAGAGUGGGGAUGAUAUCUUUGUGUGUGAGAGAGUUUGCACAUCGAAGAGGAUGUUGAAGAAAGUAGGAGCCUUCGCCAAGGAUCCCAUCCCGGAUACUUGCAUUACAGUAUGCGGUGUUUCUGAGCUCGAUGCUUGUGCUGAUGCCUGUGCUCGAACUGUGUGUGUCAACCAACAUCAAGUACCCAACUGGAACGACAUCUGCCUCCGGAGAUGCCAGAGUGAGUGCCUCAAAUUAUCCGAUUCUCGCAUUCCACGUUGAAUCAUUCGAUGAUUGUGUUAUCUGAUUUAACUCCUCAGCAGUUAUGUUCUUGCUGCUAUCUUUGUUGGAUGUAUUACCAGCAAGCUAUUUAUUGAUCAUGUUUUUUAGCCUUUGUUAAGAUAUAAAAGAAUUGGCCAAUUUCUAUGUUAUAUAAGAAGCCAAGGUUCUGAUUA